rnacentral:sRNA from 1 species
UAAAGUCUUCCAUUGAAUGACUGCUUGC